GUUAUAAACUUUCGCAACCCAUAAAAAAAAAAAGCGCCCAAUUUAUUUCACACUCCCUCCUUUUUUUUCCCCAACCUAGAAACAUCCGCCUUAACACUCCGCCUGAUCGACUCCCCUUUAACUCUCUCUCUCUCUCUCUCCGCCUAACAGAGAAAAAGAAGAAGAAACUAAGUCCAAAAUCACGUUAGAUUGAAAUCCAACGUUAACAGCAAACUGCUUCAUAGAUUGAAAUCCAAAUCAAUUCACGUUGAAAUCCCUUAAUACUCCCGCCUAAUUGAAAUUUCCCUAAAUCUCCUUCUAGGUACUGCUGAAGCAUCAUCCAUCUUCAAAGUUGGUUCUGAUUCUCAUCGUGUACAGAAGGGUUCAGGCCACGGGACAGACAACUCCUUCAUUUCAGGCCACAAGACAGACAACUCCUUCAUUUCAGGCUACAGGACAGACAACUCCUUCAUUUUAACCUCCAAUUAAUCCCAUACCAGCACAAGCAACAUCCAAUAAGCGUGCUAAACGCGAGUCUUCACAUCAUUGGACUGUCGUUGGAAUAGGACUUUUUGUCUAGUCGCUUUACCUUGGAGCAUCCAUCUGACUGAAACUUGAAUCAGUCUUUGCUCUUCCCCUUCUAUCAAUUGUACUGACAGAGGAAUGCAUACUUCUACACUUUUGCAAGGAAAACAAUUGAGCCAAGUGAUGCAGUUAGUGGGCCCGUUUCACCGACGGAUGAAAGAAGAUCUUCAGGCGCUAGUAAUCCCAGUAACAGCCAUUGAGAUUCAUUUUAAUUGAAGUGGAUGUAUUAUGACAAUGUAAUAGCUGACUAAUAUAGACGGUUAACUAUGUUCUAAUUUAACUUGUUGACAUAUGAUACUACUCUUCAUAGUAUUUUUCACGGUUAAUGAAAUGUUGAUGUUUCUUAAUUUUAA